GCCAGGCAUGGCGGCACACGCCUGUAAUCCCAGCAACUCAGGAGGCUGAGGCAGGAGGAUCUUGUGUUCAAGGCCAGCCUCAGCAAUUUAGAGAGGCCCUCAGCAUUCAGCAAGACCCUAUCUCAA
rnacentral:sRNA from 1 species